rnacentral:rRNA from 1 species
GAUGAACGCUGGCGGCGUGCCUAAUACAUGCAAGUCGAGCGAACAGACGAGGAGCUUGCUCCUCUGAUGUUAGCGGCGGACGGGUGAGUAACACGUGGAUAACCUACCUAUAAGACUGGGAUAACUUCGGGAAACCGGAGCUAAUACCGGAUAACAUGUUGAACCGCAUGGUUCAACAGUGAAAGACGGUCUUGCUGUCACUUAUAGAUGGAUCCGCGCCGCAUUAGCUAGUUGGUAAGGUACGGCUUACCAAGGCAACGAUGCGUAGCCGACCUGAGAGGGUGAUCGGCCACACUGGAACUGAGACACGGUCCAGACUCCUACGGGAGGCAGCAGUAGGGAAUCUUCCGCAAUGGGCGAAAGCCUGACGGAGCAACGCCGCGUGAGUGAAGAAGGUCUUCGGAUCGUAAAACUCUGUUAUUAGGGAAGAACAAAUGUGUAAGUAACUAUGCACGUCUUGACGGUACCUAAUCAGAAAGCCACGGCUAACUACGUG